UGUUGCCUCGGCGGGAUCUCUGCCCCGGGUGCGUCGCAGCCCCGGACCAAGGCGCCCGCCGGAGGACCAACCAAAACUCUUAUUGUAUACCCCCUCGCGGGUUUUUUACUAUCUGAGCCAUCUCGGCGCCCCUCGUGGGCGUUUCGAAAAUGAAUCAAAACUUUCAACAACGGAUCUCUUGGUUCUGGCAUCGAUGAAGAACGCAGCGAAAUGCGAUAAGUAAUGUGAAUUGCAGAAUUCAGUGAAUCAUCGAAUCUUUGAACGCACAUUGCGCCCGCCAGUAUUCUGGCGGGCAUGCCUGUCCGAGCGUCAUUUCAACCCUCGAACCCCUCCGGGGGGUCGGCGUUGGGGAUCGGCCCUUUACGGGGCCGGCCCCGAAAUACAGUGGCGGUCUCGCCGCAGCCUCUCCUGCGCAGUAGUUUGCACACUCGCAUCGGGAGCGCGGCGCGUCCACAGCCGUUAAACACCCCAAACUUCUGAAAUGUUGACCUCGGAUCAGGUAGGAAUACCCGCUGAACUUAAGCAUAUCAAUAAGCGGAGGA
rnacentral:rRNA from 1 species